AAAAAUUUUAUUGGAGUAUAGUUGCUUUACAAUGUUGUGGUAGUUUCUACUGUACAGCAAAGUGAAUCAGCUAUACGUAUACAUAUAUCCCCUCUUUUUUGGAUUUCUUGCCCAUUUAGGUCAACACAGAGCAUUGAUACCUUUUAUAUUUAGGUCUAUAAUUCACUUGGAGUUGAUUUUUGUGUAUGGUGUGAGUUAGGGGUCUAUUUCUAUGUUUUUCCAUAUGGACAUGCAAUUGUCCCAGUCCAGUUAUUGAAAAGAACACACAUUGUCUACUGUAGUGCCAGUUGUAUCGUAAGUCAGGUGUCCAUAUAUGUGUGGGUCUGGACUCUCUUUUCUUUUCCAUUGAUCUGUGUGUUCUAUCCUUGUACCAGUACUAUGGUGUUAAGUACUGUCACUUUCUAAAGUAUCUUGAUAUCAGUCAAGUGGGUCCUUCCAACUUGUUUCUUCUUUUUUAAGAGUAUUAUGGCUAUUUUUGGUCAUUUGUAUUUGCCCAUAAAAAUUUUAAAACCAGCUAGUCAAAUUCUGCACAUUCACACUUGUGUGUUUUUGUGCACACAUGUGCAUACACACAUGUACACACAUGAAAUCACCACCAACAAAAACAGUGUAAAAUCCCCACAUGUUGAAUUACUCAUUGAGAUUGCUUUGGCUAAAAUCAGUGUAAUGAGAAUUGACAUCUGAGUCGUCUAACCCAUGAACAUGGUAUAUCUGUCCAUUUAUUUAGGAUUAUUACUUUUCAGCUUUUAUUCCUCUCUGUGUAUUUUUAUAGCUUCUUUGCGUGGAUUUUAGUAUGUAUUAUUUUGGUUAUCAUGCAUUUCAAGUGUUUUCUAAUCUGUGUUAUUUUUUUUUUGACCCAUGGAUUAUUUAGAAAUGCAUUUCUUAAAUUCUGAACAAAUAAGAAUUAUCUUUUGGAGAUUGAUUUCUAACAUAAAUUCAUUAUGAUCAAAGAGCACAUACUUGAUGUUCUUUGUCCUAUGAAAUUUAUUAAGACUUGCUUUAUGAACCCAGCGUGUGGUCAGUUUCUGCAACUGUUGUGUGUGUGCUUGAAAAUCACAUCUAUUCUCUAGUAGUGGAGUACAGUAUUUUUAGGUCAAGUUUGUAAAAUUUUUACAUUUUUAGUGAUAUUUUUGUCUACUUUGGUUUAUUGGUUGUGGAGAGAAAUGUUUUAAAAUAUCAGCCUAUGAUUAUAGAUUUCUCUAAAUUUAUCCUUUUAGUUAUAUGAUAUUUUUCUUUAUAUAUUUUGAGACAACAUUAUUAGACUGAGGUGUAUAAUAGGUCUUGAAAAAUAUCCCUGUUGUCACUAUAAAGUGACCCUCUGUAUCUCUAAAAAUGCUUUUUGCCUGGUACUAAUACAGCUACUUUAUCUCACUUUGGGUUGGUAUUUACAUGGUAUAACCUUUACAAUCCUUUUAUUUUCAGUCUUUCUGUAUCAGAGGUAUUUGUUGUAAACAGCAUAGUUGAUUUUUUCUUAAUCUAGUUUCUUUGCCUUUUAGCUAUUGCAUUUAGCCCAUUUGUAUUUACUGUAAUUACUGAUGUGUUUGUAUUUAAGCUACUCUGGUUUGCUUUCUAUUUUAUUCUAUUUUUCUCUCUUUCUUUUGGAUUGAUUGUUUUAUAUAGUUCAAUGUUUAUCUUUUUCUAGUUUAAAAGUUUUUAAUUCUUUUUUUUCUAUUCUGUUAAUAGUGCCCUGGGAAAUUACAGCAUGCAUCCUAGACUGAGGAAAAUCUAAUGUUUUUCAGACCUUUACCCCCUUCCCAGAUAAUACAGGACCACUCAGCACCCCCCAAUUUAUAUGCUGUUGUUGUUAUAUAUUUUUACAACUCUGUAAGAUGUUAUUAUCAUAGUUCUGUAACGUCAGUGUUCAUUUAGAUCUAUCCACAUAUUUACUACUUUCCUGCCUUUCACCCCUUCUUAUAGCUUUGUCUGUCCACCUGGGAUCAUUUUCCUUCGGCCUGAAGUCCUUCUUUUAGAAUUUCCUUUAAAGUGGGUUCAUGGUAUUUCCAGCAUGGUAUCUGCACCGUCUGCAUCUGGUAUCCUCCAUGCCAGAGUGUCUCUACUUUACCCUUUUUGUUGGAUGGAUUUGGGACAUAAUCUGGAAGGAGAAUCAGCAAGACUUGGUGACACUUCAGAGGCGGGAGAAUAAAAAAGAAACAGCAUCACAGCGGCACCACCAAGCUGUCUCACUGGGCCUGUCGUAGUUGAGGUAGACUCCUCCGGCUGUCGUACUCAGCGUGGUCCCCGAGGGUGAAGAUCUGCCUUCAGAAGAGCCGCUGGAUUUAGAACAGAAGGAUGACUGCCUGCACACAGAGUGCCCGGAGCAGUUCCCAGCACGUGGUUUGUGCUUUAAAAGUGUUGCCGUUGUUAUUGAGAUGUAUAUAUUUUCUUACAAAGUUAAUUAAUUGCCAGUUUUUCUUUUUACAUUUGCUUUCUUUAUUAAAAUGAGCAGUGACUUUGCAUGUGUUUAGGAUGGUAGUAAUUUUUGUUAAAUCACUGUACUUACAUAACACUGCCACACAGAAUC